GGGUUGUGAGGUUAAGCGACUAAGCGUACACGGUGGAUGCCCUGGCAGUCAGAGGCGAUGAAGGACGUGCUAAUCUGCGAUAAGCGUCGGUAAGGUGAUAUGAACCGUUAUAACCGGCGAUUUCCGAAUGGGGAAACCCAGUGUGUUUCGACACACUAUCAUUAACUGAAUCCAUAGGUUAAUGAGGCGAACCGGGGGAACUGAAACAUCUAAGUACCCCGAGGAAAAGAAAUCAACCGAGAUUCCCCCAGUAGCGGCGAGCGAACGGGGAGCAGCCCAGAGCCUGAAUCAGUAUGUGUGUUAGUGGAAGCGUCUGGAAAGGCGCGCGAUACAGGGUGACAGCCCCGUACACAAAAAUGCACAUGCUGUGAGCUCGAUGAGUAGGGCGGGACACGUGGUAUCCUGUCUGAAUAUGGGGGGACCAUCCUCCAAGGCUAAAUACUCCUGACUGACCGAUAGUGAACCAGUACCGUGAGGGAAAGGCGAAAAGAACCCCGGCGAGGGGAGUGAAAAAGAACCUGAAACCGUGUACGUACAAGCAGUGGGAGCACGCUUAGGCGUGUGACUGCGUACCUUUUGUAUAAUGGGUCAGCGACUUAUAUUCUGUAGCAAGGUUAACCGAAUAGGGGAGCCGAAGGGAAACCGAGUCUUAACUGGGCGUUAAGUUGCAGGGUAUAGACCCGAAACCCGGUGAUCUAGCCAUGGGCAGGUUGAAGGUUGGGUAACACUAACUGGAGGACCGAACCGACUAAUGUUGAAAAAUUAGCGGAUGACUUGUGGCUGGGGGUGAAAGGCCAAUCAAACCGGGAGAUAGCUGGUUCUCCCCGAAAGCUAUUUAGGUAGCGCCUCGUGAAUUCAUCUCCGGGGGUAGAGCACUGUUUCGGCAAGGGGGUCAUCCCGACUUACCAACCCGAUGCAAACUGCGAAUACCGGAGAAUGUUAUCACGGGAGACACACGGCGGGUGCUAACGUCCGUCGUGAAGAGGGAAACAACCCAGACCGCCAGCUAAGGUCCCAAAGUCAUGGUUAAGUGGGAAACGAUGUGGGAAGGCCCAGACAGCCAGGAUGUUGGCUUAGAAGCAGCCAUCAUUAAAGAAAGCGUAAUAGCUCACUGGUCGAGUCGGCCUGCGCGGAAGAUGUAACGGGGCUAAACCAUGCACCGAAGCUGCGGCAGCGACGCUGAUGCGUUGUUGGGUAGGGGAGCGUUCUGUAAGCCUGUGAAGGUGUGCUGUGAGGCAUGCUGGAGGUAUCAGAAGUGCGAAUGCUGACAUAAGUAACGAUAAAGCGGGUGAAAAGCCCGCUCGCCGGAAGACCAAGGGUUCCUGUCCAACGUUAAUCGGGGCAGGGUGAGUCGACCCCUAAGGCGAGGCCGAAAGGCGUAGUCGAUGGGAAACAGGUUAAUAUUCCUGUACUUGGUGUUACUGCGAAGGGGGGACGGAGAAGGCUAUGUUGGCCGGGCGACGGUUGUCCCGGUUUAAGCGUGUAGGCUGGUUUUCCAGGCAAAUCCGGAAAAUCAAGGCUGAGGCGUGAUGACGAGGCACUACGGUGCUGAAGCAACAAAUGCCCUGCUUCCAGGAAAAGCCUCUAAGCAUCAGGUAACAUCAAAUCGUACCCCAAACCGACACAGGUGGUCAGGUAGAGAAUACCAAGGCGCUUGAGAGAACUCGGGUGAAGGAACUAGGCAAAAUGGUGCCGUAACUUCGGGAGAAGGCACGCUGAUAUGUAGGUGAAGUCCCUCGCGGAUGGAGCUGAAAUCAGUCGAAGAUACCAGCUGGCUGCAACUGUUUAUUAAAAACACAGCACUGUGCAAACACGAAAGUGGACGUAUACGGUGUGACGCCUGCCCGGUGCCGGAAGGUUAAUUGAUGGGGUUAGCGCAAGCGAAGCUCUUGAUCGAAGCCCCGGUAAACGGCGGCCGUAACUAUAACGGUCCUAAGGUAGCGAAAUUCCUUGUCGGGUAAGUUCCGACCUGCACGAAUGGCGUAAUGAUGGCCAGGCUGUCUCCACCCGAGACUCAGUGAAAUUGAACUCGCUGUGAAGAUGCAGUGUACCCGCGGCAAGACGGAAAGACCCCGUGAACCUUUACUAUAGCUUGACACUGAACAUUGAGCCUUGAUGUGUAGGAUAGGUGGGAGGCUUUGAAGUGUGGACGCCAGUCUGCAUGGAGCCGACCUUGAAAUACCACCCUUUAAUGUUUGAUGUUCUAACGUUGACCCGUAAUCCGGGUUGCGGACAGUGUCUGGUGGGUAGUUUGACUGGGGCGGUCUCCUCCUAAAGAGUAACGGAGGAGCACGAAGGUUGGCUAAUCCUGGUCGGACAUCAGGAGGUUAGUGCAAUGGCAUAAGCCAGCUUGACUGCGAGCGUGACGGCGCGAGCAGGUGCGAAAGCAGGUCAUAGUGAUCCGGUGGUUCUGAAUGGAAGGGCCAUCGCUCAACGGAUAAAAGGUACUCCGGGGAUAACAGGCUGAUACCGCCCAAGAGUUCAUAUCGACGGCGGUGUUUGGCACCUCGAUGUCGGCUCAUCACAUCCUGGGGCUGAAGUAGGUCCCAAGGGUAUGGCUGUUCGCCAUUUAAAGUGGUACGCGAGCUGGGUUUAGAACGUCGUGAGACAGUUCGGUCCCUAUCUGCCGUGGGCGCUGGAGAACUGAGGGGGGCUGCUCCUAGUACGAGAGGACCGGAGUGGACGCAUCACUGGUGUUCGGGUUGUCAUGCCAAUGGCACUGCCCGGUAGCUAAAUGCGGAAGAGAUAAGUGCUGAAAGCAUCUAAGCACGAAACUUGCCCCGAGAUGAGUUCUCCCUGACCCUUUAAGGGUCCUGAAGGAACGUUGAAGACGACGACGUUGAUAGGCCGGGUGUGUAAGCGCAGCGAUGCGUUGAGCUAACCGGUACUAAUGAACCGUGAGGCUUAACCUUACAACGCCGAAGCUGUU
rnacentral:rRNA from 1 species